rnacentral:rRNA from 1 species
UACGGAGGGUGCAAGCGUUAAUCGGAAUAACUGGGCGUAAAGCGUACGCAGGCGGUCUUGCAAGUGAGAUGUGAAAUCCCCGGGCUCAACCUGGGAACUGCAUUUGAGACUGGGAGUCUGGAGUACGGUAGAGGGGGAUGGAAUUCCGCGUGUAGCGGUGAAAUGCGUAGAGAUGUGGAGGAACACCGAUGGCGAAGGCAGCCCCUUGGGUCUAGAUUGACGCUCAUGCGCGAAAGCGUGGGGAGCAAACAGG